GAUGAACGCUGGCGGCGUGCUUAAUACAUGCAAGUCGAGCGAACAGACGAGGAGCUUGCUCCUCUCACGUUAGCGGCGGACGGGUGAGUAACACGUGGAUACCCUACCUAUAAGACUGGGAUAACUUCGGGAAACCGGAUCUAACACCGGAUAAUAUAUUGAACCGCAUGGUUCAAUAGUGAAAUACGGUUUUGCUGUCACUUAUAGAUGGUUACGCGCUGCAUUAGCUAGUUGGUAAGGUAACGGCUUACCAAGGCGACGAUGCGUAGCCGACCUGAGAGGGUGAUCGGCCACACUGGAACUGAGACACGGUCCAGACUCCUACGGGAGGCAGCAGUAGGGAAUCUUCCGCAAUGGGCGAAAGCCUGACGGAGCAACGCCGCGUGAGUGAUGAAGGUCUUCGGGUCGUAAAACUCUGUUAUUAGGGAAGAACAAAUGUGGAAUUAAAUAUGCACGUCUUGACGGUACCGGAUCAGAAAGCAACGGCUAACUACGUG
rnacentral:rRNA from 1 species